rnacentral:rRNA from 1 species
UACGUAGGUGGCAAGCGUUGUCCGGAUUUACUGGGCGUAAAGAGCGCGCAGGCGGUCGUUCAAGUCGAGUGUGAAAGCCCCCGGCUCAACUGGGGAGGGUCACUCGAUACUGAUCGACUCGAAGGCAGAAGAGGGAAGCGGAAUUCCCGGUGUAGUGGUGAAAUGCGUAGAUAUCGGGGAGGAACACCAGUGGCGAAGGCGGCUCACAUGGCCCGGUACUGACGCUGAGGCACGAAAGCGUGGGGAGCAAACAGG